rnacentral:rRNA from 1 species
GAUGAACGCUAGCGGGAGGCUUAACACAUGCAAGUCGAGGGGUAGGGAAGCAAUUCCUGAGACCGGCGGACGGGUGCGUAACGCGUAUGCAACCUGCCUUAUACAGGGGGAUAGCCCAUGGAAACGUGGAUUAACACCCCAUAGGAUUACGGGAUCGCAUGAUUUUGUGAUUAAAACUGAGGUGGUAUAAGAUGGGCAUGCGUCUGAUUAGGUAGUUGGUAGGGUAAUGGCCUACCAAGCCGACGAUCAGUAGGGGUUCUGAGAGGAUUACCCCCCACACUGGUACUGAGACACGGACCAGACUCCUACGGGAGGCAGCAGUGAGGGAUAUUGGUCAAUGGCCGGAAGGCUGAACCAGCCAUCCCGCGUGCAGGAUGACGGUCCUAUGGGUUGUAAACUGCUUUUGUACCUGAAGAAUAGGCCCAACGAGUUGGGAUUUGCCGGUAAGGUAUGAAUAAGCAUCGGCUAACUCCGUGCCAGCAGCAGCCGCGGUAA